CCUUGCCUCUCGUGUAUAACUGCAUUUGGGUCCACCUUCCCCUUUCCAAAGUCUUCCCUUUAAAACCCCGACCUGACAGCUAGUGGGGCUAACGGGAGGGCUGCACACAGCCACCACCACACAGGACUAGAAGCCAGAACCACACAACUUUCAUAUACCUUCCACACACACAUACUCAUCUGUCACACUCACACCAUCAACCAUUCCUAAUCAGCAAUUGAGAAACUAAAAGGAACUAAUACUAAAAGGACUAAAAGGAACUAAUUCUAACCCAGCGGCCAUAAGUGAUUCAGUCCAGUUUACCAUACAGUCCUUAGAAUAAAUCUCCACAAAACAUUCGUAACAUGUCUUACAACGAGAGAAGGCCACCAGAUAACACAGUCACCAGUUCAACCCACCGGGGGAUCAUGACAUUGUGGGAAGACUAGCUAUCAGACUGCACAUCAAUUCUGAAUCAGGUAAGCAGUAUCUAUGUGAUCUUUGAACCCAAAUCAUGAUUGUGAACUUUUAACAUUAUAGUUUAACAACAGAUCCACUCAGACACAUGUCACACUGGUAAAAAGCGCCCGUAGAACUGAGUUUUGAGAGCUUAAAAAAAUACUGUUGCCUGUAACGUUGUGUCUGGUUUUCACCAUUUUACAUACCUACACUAAGCUUGUCCUUUUUCAUGUCAGGUGUAUUGUUGAUACAGGGCUAAACCAGGGUUUGACAAGAGUUGCCAGUGUCUGAUUCUACACCCGAACACAGCAGAGUGGGCGGGGCCUGCAGACUGACCCAGUUACACCUGCAGCGAGCAGACAGAGGAAGAGGAGUGUGAGAUCCACAGGGGAAAGGAGCAGGAGAAAGAGAACGACAGCUGUCGCCAGCAGACGGGCAUUGACUGUCGGACUAAUUGAAAUCGGAAGAGGCCGGCGCCCAAGGACGGUGUGACAGCAGUGGUGCCAAUGACGAGAGUGAUGUUGGCCCGAGGUGACGGUGAACAGUUGAUACUCUGCCCCAUCGUCUCCCGAGUCUUCGCCCGGCAGAGGACAGUGUGCAAGUGGAAGACAGCGGUGGUCGUGGAGAAUCGGUGUUACCAAGUCACCACAAUAACGGACCCCUUCCCCCCAGACCCCAUUCUAUAAUUUCUGUGAAUAAAUAUUGUUUUAAAUGCCCUUUACGGUCUCCAAGCACUUUCUUGGUUAUCGAAACACACGUCAUAUACGUCAGCGUAGAUGAGAGCCAAGUCAGAGACAAGAGAGACAAUGAAUGAAAUCCCACGAAAUGAUGUGCGGUCAAUAU
rnacentral:lncRNA from 1 species